rnacentral:rRNA from 1 species
AGGCCGUAAGACAGGUGCUGCAUGGCUGUCGUCAGCUCGUGUCGUGAGAUGUUGGGUUAAGUCCCGCAACGAGCGCAACCCUUGUCAUUAGUUGCUACAUUCAGUUGGGCACUCUAAUGAGACUGCCGGUGACAAACCGGAGGAAGGUGGGGAUGACGUCGAGUCCUCAUGGCCCUUAUAGGUGGGGCUACACACGUCAUACAAUGGAUGGUACAAAGGGUCGCCAACCCGCGAGGGGGAGCCAAUCCCAUAAAGCCAUUCGUAGUCCGGAUCGCAGUCUGCAACUCGACUGCGUGAAGUCGGAAUCGCUAGUAAUCGUGGAUCAGAAUGUCACGGUGAAUACGUUCCCGGGUCUU